CCCCCCCCCCCCCCCCCCCCAACUGGUCUAAAAAAGAGAUUGGACCACAGCGUUCUGAACAGCUAAAAGUUGAGCUAUAUAAAAGUUAUAUCUUUUUACUGUUGCAUUUAAAGGAAAAUGUUUUGUUAUAUUUUAUGUAUGCAUGGUUACUUGUAUCUCUGAAAUAUUUUAAAAGCUUGAUAAUUGUGACUGUGAAGGUUAAUGAACUGGUGAUUUUUUCAUUUAAGGUUGACUGUAAAUUUUGUUGUUCUAGUUCCACUGGUAGUACCUGAAGUGAAGAUUGAUUUAUUUUUUUUUGAUAGACAUUAUAAAGCUGUCAGGUGCCUUACAUUCUAAAGUAUUUUUGCUAUAUUUUGUUAUAAGGAGUCUAAUAAAGUUUGAUGGGUUGAUUGAUUUGUAAGCUGAGAAAUUUAUUUUUUUCUUAGGGUUAAAAUUAUGUUUUACUCUUUGUGUAAUCAUCUUCCUAAAAUCCUAUCAUUAUAAUAGUUUUGAAAAGAAAAUGAAAGAAGAGAUUCAUCUUAAUGUGCAACCCAUAGUUUGAAAACCUUACCACUAGGUCAAUACAGAUAUUGU